AAAAGAACCCCGGGAGGGGAGUGAAAUAGAUCCUGAAACCGCAUACAUACAAACAGUAGGAGCCUCGUUAAGGGGUGACUGCGUACCUUUUGCAUAAUGGGUCAGCGACUUACGUUUAAUGGCGAGCUUAACCGUAUAGGGGAGGCGCAGCGAAAGCGAGUUCGAACAGAGCGUUCAGUCGUUAGGCGUAGACCCGAAACCAGAUGAUCUAUCCAUGGCCAGGUUGAAGGUGUGGUAACACACACUGGAGGACCGAACCGACUAGUGUUGCAAAAUUAGCGGAUGAGCUGUGGAUAGGGGUGAAAGGCUAAACAAAUCUGGAGAUAGCUGGUUCUCCCCGAAAACUAUUGAGGUAGUGCCUCGUGUAUGACUCCAGGGGGUAGAGCACUGUUAUGGCUAGGGGGACAUGGCGUCUUACCAAACCAUGGCAAACUCCGAAUACUUGGAAGUUUGAGCACGGGAGACAGAGCACCGGGUGCUAACGUCCGGACUCAAGAGGGAAACAACCCAGACCGCCGGCUAAGGUCCCUAAUAUUGACUAAGUGGAAAACGAAGUGGAAAGGCUAAGACAGUCAGGAAGUUGGCUUAGAAGCAGCCAUCCUUCAAAGAAAGCGUAAUAGCUCACUGAUCGAGUCUUUCUGCGCGGAAGAUGUAACGGGGCUAAGUCAAUAACCGAAGCCGCGGAUUCACACUUGUGUGUGAGUGGUAGGGGAGCGUUCUGUAAGCCUGCGAAGGUGACUCGUAAGGGUUGCUGGAGGUAUCAGAAGUGCGAAUGCUGACAUGAGUAACGUUAAAGCGGGUGAAAAGCCCGCUCGCCGUAAGCCCAAGGUUUCCUGCUCUACGUUCAUCGGAGCAGGGUGAGUCGGCCCCUAAGGUGAGGCUGAGAAGCGUAACUGAUGGGAACAAGGUUAAUAUUCCUUGACCACCGCUGAAUGCGAAGGGGGGACGGAGUAUUGAAGAUCAUCCGGGUGUUGGAUAUCCCGGUUUGCGAGCGUAGGAGGCUGACAGGCAAAUCCGUCAGCGAAUCUCCGAGGCAAAGCAUCGAGCUCUCUUUUGAGCGAAGUGAUUGGAUGUGCUUCCAGGAAAAGCCUCUAAGCUCCAGUUCAGCGGGACCGUACCGCAAACCGACACUGGUGGGCGAGCUGAAUAUGCUCAGGCGCUUGAGAGAACUCAGGAGAAGGAACUCGGCAAAUUGACACCGUAACUUCGGGAUAAGGUGUGCCUUUGUAGCGUGGAGGGAGAAACACCCCGAGCGCGAAGAGGUCUCAGAUAAUCGGUGGCUGCGACUGUUUAUUAAAAACACAGCACUCUGCAAAGACGAAAGUCGACGUAUAGGGUGUGAUGCCUGCCCGGUGCUGGAAGAUUAAUUGAUGGGGUGCAAGCUCCUGAUCGAAGUCCCAGUAAACGGCGGCCGUAACUAUAACGGUCCUAAGGUAGCGAAAUUCCUUGUCGGGCAAGUUCCGACCUGCACGAAUGGCAUAACGAUGGCCACACUGUCUCCUCCUGAGACUCAGUGAAGUUGAAGUGUUUGUGAUGAUGCAAUCUCCCCGCGGCUAGACGGAAAGACCCCAUGAACCUUUACUGUAGCUUUGCAUUGGACUUUGAACCGAUCUGUGUAGGAUAGGCGGGAGCCUGUGAAACCACAACGCCAGUUGUGGCGGAGGCGUCCUUGAAAUACCGCCCUGAUUUGUUUGAGGUUCUAACCUGGGACAGUCAUCCUGUCCGGGGACCGUGCAUGGUAGGCAGUUUGACUGGGGCGGUCUCCUCCUAAAGGGUAACGGAGGAGUGCGAAGGUACGCUAGGUACGGUCGGAAAUCGUGCUGAUAGUGCAAUGGCAAAAGCGUGCUUGACUGCGAGACCCACAAGUCGAGCAGAUACGAAAGUAGGUCAUAGUGAUCCGGUGGCUCUGUAUGGAAGGGCCAUCGCUCAACGGAUAAAAGGUACUCUGGGGAUAACAGGCUGAUACCGCCCAAGAGUUCAUAUCGACGGCGGUGUUUGGCACCUCGAUGUCGGCUCAUCUCAUCCUGGGGCUGUAGCCGGUCCCAAGGGUAUGGCUGUUCGCCAUUUAAAGAGGUACGUGAGCUGGGUUUAAAACGUCGUGAGACAGUUUUGUCCCUAUCUGCCGUGGGCGCUGGAAGAUUGACGGGGGCUGCUCCUAGUACGAGAGGACCGGAGUGGACUCACCUCUGGUGUACCGGUUGUCACGCCAGUGGCAUCGCCGGGUAGCUAUGUGGGGAA
rnacentral:rRNA from 1 species